rnacentral:rRNA from 1 species
GUAGGUGGCAAGCGUUGUCGGAACUUAUUGGGUCGUAGAGCGCGCGCAGGCGGUUCUUUAAGUCUGAUGUGAAAGCCCACGGCUCAACCGUGGAGGGUCAUUGGAAACUGGAGAACUUGAGUACAGAAGAGGAAAGCGGAAUUCCACGUGUAGCGGUGAAAUGCGUAGAGAUGUGGAGGAACACCAGUGGCGAAGGCGGCUUUCUGGUCUGUAACUGACGCUGAGGCGCGAAAGCGUGGGGAGCAAACAGGAUUAGAUACCCUGGUAGUCCACGCCGUAAACGAUGAGUGCUAAGUGUUAGGGGGGUUUUCCGCCCCCCUUAGUGCUGCAGCUAACGCAUUAAGCACUCCGCCUGGGAGUACGGCCGCAAGGCUG